rnacentral:lncRNA from 1 species
CUCUCAAUUGCAAGAACAAUCACCAUUAGUUCCUAAAAACCUACAAGCCUAUCUAGUAUCUUUAAACAUUAGACCUCCACCUCCUUUGUUAGCUUUGACCUAUCCUAUUGAUGAUAACAAGUGAAAAGAAGAAUUAUAAAAAGAGAUGAGAACAUCUCAGUUAGAAUUCCAAAUCCAAAUCUUUCAUUAAAUAAAGUUGAUGAUAGAACAACUACUUGGAUUAGUGAGAAAUUUCAAUUCCAAUCUUCUUCU